rnacentral:sRNA from 1 species
UGAAUGCAUUUUUGAGCAACUCGUCAGGC